rnacentral:rRNA from 1 species
GACGGGGGAUGCAAGCGUUAUACGGAAUCACUGGGCGUAAAGCGUCCGCAGGUGGAGAUGCAAGUCACUGGUGCAAAACUCUGGCUCAACCGGAGGAAAGCCAGUGAAACUGCAUGACUAGAGUGUGGGAGAGGUAGAAGGAAUUCCCUGAGUAGCGGUGAAAUGCGUAGAUACAGGGAAGAACACCGGAGGCGAAAGCGUUCUACUGGAACACAACUGACACUGAGAAACGAGAGCGAGGGGAGCGAAGGGG